CAGCAGCCACGGGAAAACGAAGGGGGCUAGCGUUGUUCGGAUUUACUGGGCGUAAAGGGCGCGCAGGCGGACUGAUAAGUCAGGGGUGAAAUCCCAAGGCUCAACCUUGGAACUGCCUUUGAUACUGUUUGUCUUGAGUUCGAGAGAGGUAAGUGGAACUGCGAGUGUGGAGGUGAAAUUCGUAGAUAUUCGCAAGAACACCAGUGGCGAAGGCGGCUUACUGGCUCGAAACUGACGCUGAGGCGCGAAAGCGUGGGGAGCAAACAGGAUUAGAUACCCCUGUAGUCCCUGUCUCUUAUAC
rnacentral:rRNA from 1 species